rnacentral:rRNA from 1 species
AUUGAACGCUGGCGGCAGGCCUAACACAUGCAAGUCGAACGAGUGGCGGACGGGUGAGUAAUGUCUGGGAAACUGCCUGAUGGAGGGGGCUAACUACUGGAAACGGUAGCUAAUACCGCAUACCAUCAGAUGUGCCCAGAUGGGAGUAGCUUGUUGGUGUGGUAACGGCUCACCAAGGCGACGAUCCCUAGCUGGGCUGAGAGGAUGAUCAGCCAAACGGGAACGGAGACACGGUCCAGACUCCUACGGGAGGCAGCAGUGGGGAAUAUUGCACAAUGGGCGCAAGCCUGAUGCAGCCAUGCCGCGUGUAUGAAGAAGGUCUUCGGGUUGUAAAGUACUUUCGGCGGGGAAGCGUUACCCGCACAAGAAGCACCGGCUAACUCCGUGCCAGCAGCCGCGGUAAUAC